rnacentral:lncRNA from 1 species
UACUCCGCGACGAUCCCCUCCGGACUGAUCAAAAUCAGGCCCGCGCCUGUGCCCGACAUGUUGGAGGAUCCGUCCAUAUAGAGGGCCCAAAAGCAAUUAGGGGGGUCUGUUUCUUCUUCAGAGGGGUUCAGUCGGGACUUCAGGCCGUCAACUUCACCUUGUUCAGGCUCGGCCUCCUCCGAGAUAGUGCAUUCUACUAUAAAAUCUGCCAAUAUCUGGGCUUUUACUGUCGGCCUAGGUUGAUAGUUGAUGUCGAAUUCUGUGAGCUCGAUCGCCC